rnacentral:rRNA from 1 species
GCUUACGGCCAUACCACCCUGAGCAUGCCCGAUCUCGUCUGAUCUCGGAGGCUAAGCAGGGUCGGGCCUGGUUAGUACUUGGAUGGGAGACCGCCUGGGAAUACCAGGUGCUGUAAGCG